CACCCCGGAAGGGGAGUGAAACAGAACCUGAAACCGUGUGCUUACAAGUAGUCAGAGCCCGUUAAUGGGUGAUGGCGUGCCUUUUGUAGAAUGAACCGGCGAGUUACGAUUUGAUGCAAGGUUAAGCAGUAAAUGUGGAGCCGUAGCGAAAGCGAGUCUGAAUAGGGCGUUUAGUAUUUGGUCGUAGACCCGAAACCAGGUGAUCUACCCUUGGUCAGGUUGAAGUUCAGGUAACACUGAAUGGAGGACCGAACCGACUUACGUUGAAAAGUGAGCGGAUGAACUGAGGGUAGCGGAGAAAUUCCAAUCGAACCUGGAGAUAGCUGGUUCUCUCCGAAAUAGCUUUAGGGCUAGCCUCAAGUGAUGAUUAUUGGAGGUAGAGCACUGUUUGGACGAGGGGCCCCUCUCGGGUUACCGAAUUCAGACAAACUCCGAAUGCCAAUUAAUUUAACUUGGGAGUCAGAACAUGGGUGAUAAGGUCCGUGUUCGAAAGGGAAACAGCCCAGACCACCAGCUAAGGUCCCAAAAUAUAUGUUAAGUGGAAAAGGAUGUGGCGUUGCCCAGACAACUAGGAUGUUGGCUUAGAAGCAGCCAUCAUUUAAAGAGUGCGUAAUAGCUCACUAGUCGAGUGACACUGCGCCGAAAAUGUACCGGGGCUAAACAUAUUACCGAAGCUGUGGAUUGUCCUUUGGACAAUGGUAGGAGAGCGUUCUAAGGGCGUUGAAGCAUGAUCGUAAGGACAUGUGGAGCGCUUAGAAGUGAGAAUGCCGGUGUGAGUAGCGAAAGACGGGUGAGAAUCCCGUCCACCGAUUGACUAAGGUUUCCAGAGGAAGGCUCGUCCGCUCUGGGUUAGUCGGGUCCUAAGCUGAGGCCGACAGGCGUAGGCGAUGGAUAACAGGUUGAUAUUCCUGUACCACCUAUA
rnacentral:rRNA from 1 species